AUUGAACGCUGGCGGAAUGCUUUACACAUGCAAGUCGAGCGGCAGCGCGGGGCAACCUGGCGGCGAGCGGCGAACGGGUGAGUAAUACAUCGGAACGUGCCCAGACGUGGGGGAUAACUACUCGAAAGAGUGGCUAAUACCGCAUACGAUCUACGGAUGAAAGCGGGGGAUCGCAAGACCUCGCGCGUCUGGAGCGGCUGAUGGCAGAUUAGGUAGUUGGUGGGAUAAAAGCCUACCAAGCCAACGAUCUGUAGCUGGUCUGAGAGGAUGAUCAGCCACACUGGGACUGAGACACGGCCCAGACUCCUACGGGAGGCAGCAGUGGGGAAUUUUGGACAAUGGGCGAAAGCCUGAUCCAGCCAUUCCCGUGCAGGAUGAAGGCCCUCGGGUUGUAAACUGCUUUUGUACAGAACGAAAAAGACUGUUAAUACCUGAGGUCCAUACGGUACUGUAAGUAAAAAGACACCGACUAACUACGU
rnacentral:rRNA from 1 species